rnacentral:misc_RNA from 1 species
AUAAUAAUAAUAAUAAUAAACUCUCUUUGCUAUUAUUUUCUGGGGUUAUGUGCGGUAAUUUAGCUUAAGUAUUUGGUGUGGAGUAUUUUAUUUUGCAGUUACAUUUCUUUGUUGUUAGUAAACAUGUAUUGUAGCAUAAAUGAAAUGCAUGCAUUAAUGUUGAUGAAUGACCAUCGACACUUCAUUCUCAAUGUAAUUCUACUUAGCUAACCAUAUUUCUAACCACUUGACAUUUAUUGCAUUAACGAUGUAACAAAAAUCUUGUUUUGUUUGAAACUUUUUGUUGGCUAUUUUAUGUUUCAAACAAUGUCAUUUUUGUUCUACCUCUUAGUUCUUACCACUUUAAUGUGCUUAUUCUUUUGUAAGCAUUGUUGUUAAGGUUCAAGGUGUGGUAAGGUGCAAAGCAGUUUUGGAGCCCAGGCGC